AAGAAACUUGGCCCAGUGAUUUUUGUCUUUUUUUUUUAAAAAAAAAAAAAAAGCAAGGAAGCAAGCCUGAUAAAUUUAUCCAGGUCAAUUAUUUGGCCGAGCAAUUAUUUGAUACAUUAAUCUUGGUUUUCAUAAAAACCUACCUAAGCUUAACCUUAAGAUGAGCAUUAUUGACCUUGCAAUAUUCGUAAAAUAUCGUGUUUAAAGGAACCCAGCUGUAAGAGCCCA
rnacentral:lncRNA from 1 species